rnacentral:rRNA from 1 species
UACGUAGGUGGCAAGCGUUGUCCGGAUUUACUGGGCGUAAAGAGCGCGCAGGCGGUCGUGCAAGUCGCGUGUGAAAGCCCCCGGCUCAACUGGGGAGGGUCACGCGAUACUGCUCGACUCGAAGGCAGGAGAGGGAAGUGGAAUUCCCGGUGUAGUGGUGAAAUGCGCAGAUAUCAGGAGGAACACCGGUGGCGAAGGCGGGUCUCUGGAACAUUUCUGACGCUGAGGCUCGAAAGCGUGGGGAGCAAACAGG